GCGGUGGUUGUCCAGUGGUAGAAUUUUCACCUUCCAUGCAGAAGACCCAGGUUUGAUUCCUGGCCAGUGCG
rnacentral:tRNA from 1 species